rnacentral:lncRNA from 1 species
GCCAGCAGUGUGCAUGGGUCCUUACCCUGGCAGAACUUAAGGUCUGGUGGCAGAGGCAGCAGACAGACAGAGACUCAGAUGCAGAGUGAGCAACACUCUGGAAACCUAGAGGAGGUACUCUUCCUUCAUACUCAGGGACACUCCUCAGAUAAGUGCAGGAAGCACAGGAAGUGCAAAGGCCAGGGGGAAAGAGAACCAUGGCGCCUGCAGGGAUCUGCAUGCAUCUGAGCAAUAUUUGGGUGGAAGUUUACCGGAAGCCACAAAGGAGCAGUCAGAUGUUCUCACUGUAAGUGCAACAGCCACGGAUACCAACCAAUACAGGAAUGUGUUAUUGCAUUAAUGGUGAAAAUACUACAGGAGCCGUUGUCAUCAGAAAAUUUCAUAAUUUUCUAAAUUAUUGAACAACCCUCAGACCCAGAGGAAAGCACUGGGAGGAAUGAGAAAGUAGCGACUAGACAAAAAUGAAAACUCUUUAAGAAGCAUUGCUGAAGUUACAGGGGAAAAAGAUUAAGACAACUGAGGUUAAGGGCCUGACUCCAGAUCACACAGCAAGGGAGAUGGCAAAAUCAAGAUUUCAACCCAGGAAACCUGCCUCCCAUGCCUAUGUUAAUCACUACACCCUUCCCACAAUAAAUAAUCAAAUAAGCUAUUA